GACGAACGCUGGCGGCGUGCUUAACACAUGCAAGUCGAACGGAAAGGCCUGCUUUCCCUUGUGGAUUGCGGGUACUCGAGUGGCGAACGGGUGAGUAACACGUGAGUGAUCUGCCCCCAACUUGGGUAUAAGCCUGGGAAACUGGGUCUAAUUCCCGAUAGGACUGCAGGGUGGUGCCUGUGGUGGAAAACGAUUUUCUAGUGGUUGGGGAUGAGCUCGCGGCCUAUCAGCUUGUUGGUGGGGUAGUGGCCUACCAAGGCGGCGACGGGUAGCCGGCCUGAGAGGGUGGACGGCCACAUUGGGACUGAGAUACGGCCCAGACUCCUACGGGAGGCAGCAGUGGGGAAUAUUGGACAAUGGGCGGAAGCCUGAUGCAGCGACGCCGCGUGGGGGAUGACGGCCUUCGGGUUGUAAACUCCUUUCGACCGCGAGGAAGCCACCUGGUUGGAAGGGUGGUGACGGUAGUGGUAGAAGAAGCACCGGCUAACUACGUG
rnacentral:rRNA from 1 species